UUUCCUAACCAUUUCUCUCUUUACCAUUUCUUCUCUCUCAGUCUCUCCCAUCUCUCCAUCACAAUCGUCGUCGAAAAUUCCUGAUUCCUCCAAGGCACACUCAAUUCUCAAGCAAUGGCACUAAGAGAGAGAGAAGAGAUCCGUGGGUGAGUGAAGAUGGUGGCCCAUCAAAGGUCACUCUCCAGACCUCCAUGGCUUCCUUCACAGUUGAGAUGUACUACGACUAUGCACCCAAGACUUGCAAGAACUUCAUAGAGUUGGCUCGCAGAGGCUAUUACGAUAACGUCAAAUUCCACAGAAUCAUUAAGAUCUCUUUGUUUGUAUAGCUAAUCGCUAUUCAUAUUUGUAUAUGUAAACAUUUCUAAUUUUGAACUGAUAAUUUUUAUGUGAUAUUGGAGUUCAGGAUUUUAUAUUGCAAGGUGGGGAUCCAACUAGGAUUGGCAGGGGUGGCAAAUCAAUUUAUGGGAUUUUUAUAGAUCACCCUUUUAUGGUGUGGUGAUGGUGGUGCAGUGAAUCUAGGUAGGACGACGGUGUUGGUGAUGGUAGCGACGGUGCUUACAUUGGCAGGGGUGAUUGUGGUUGUGGUGUUUUGGAGAUGAAUGGCUGGUGACGGUGUUGAUGGCGUGGUUGAAUUGUUGGUGGUGUAGGUGCUAGCGCGAUGUUGCUACAAUGAUGGUAAGUCGGUGCUUGGUUUCAAUGGUGUUGGUAGUAUUUGUGUCCAAUUAUAUAUGUUGUUCGGUUGGUGCCAUCAUGGUGGCAAUUUUGGUGGUGUGUGUUGGUUUGUUUUUGUCGGGAGGGGAUGGCAGCGGCGGCGACGAUUGUGAUGGUGUUGUGGCCGGGAUAGUGUUUGUGACCAGGUAUUAUGGUGGAUCGGGAUUGGGUGUUUGGCGUCUGUGACCAACUAUUUGGUCCUCUGUGACUGUAUUAAUCCUUGACUUUAAGAUUCUAUCAUUUUGUAACUAAAAAAGUAAUCUGUGAAUAUCAAAUUUAAAAAUAUGUGACAUGUGACUUAUAAUUUUUUUAAUUUGUGACCAUUUGUAACCUAUAAUUUUUUUUAUCUGUGAAUUCGAAAUAAUCUGUGACGUAUCAAAAUUUUGAUUUCUGAGCUCGAAAAAAUCUGUGACAAUUAAUUUAAUGAUAUGUGACCAGCAAAUAAAUAUGUGACUUUAUUAUCAUUAUUUAAUAAAUAUUUUUAAUUAAUUAGUUAAAACCAGAUUUUUGCAUUAAUGAAACUUGUAACCUGAAUUUUGAAUUAUGCAUAGUUAAAAACAUGAUUUGUGAACUCUUCCCUUUUUUCUUUCUGCUUGUUACUUGUUGUCUUCAUCUUCUCCUGUCUGUUUGGAGAUGGCGUUCCAGGUUCAGAAACGUCCUGUAGAGAAGAAACUGAGACUUCAACAUCUCCUCCUCUUCUUUGGUUGUGCCUCUAUGUUGCAGUCCCAGACCUUCAAGAUUUCUUUUAAUGGCUGCCUUCGGAUUAAUCAGUAACGCCACAUCUUUCGGAAUUGCCUCCAGUGAUUGUGUCGUCUUGGCCAUACUAUUGAGUUAAGUACUCCACUGCUCUUUCCAGUCCAGGUUAGCAUUGAAGUUCCGUUUUCAAUUCCUUCAGCUUCUUCUCUAUUGCUUCUACUCUGACUUCUAUCUUCUUCUCGGCCAUUAGAUCGAAUGUGCUCUGAUACCACUUUGAUAUAACUUCGCAAGAAGAAAAUAAGAAUAGAGAAUAUCGAGAAUAUUGAUUGUAUUGCAUAAGAACAAUUACAAUAGAUGAACUUAUAAAACUUGGUCACACUCAAUAUUUGCCUACUCUACUGAGCCUCCCUCCCCUCUUAUUUGUAGCAAUUAUUCCCUAACUACUUUUCCCCCCAUUUGCCAUGUAAUUGCUGUUAUUCCCCCUUCUUCUAGUUGCUUCUCACUCCUUGUUUCAUCUAGAAUGAGCGAGGUGGAGGGAGCCUAUUUCUUGUUUGGUGUGCAACGAGGGUGUCUUGGUCACUCACCAGACACCAUAAAUGCCUGGCAUGUAGUGUUUGAUUGGAAGUAUCAACAAUGACGGACGUAGACAUUUUAAAUUAGGGGCAACAAUCAAACUUGCAAAAAAGUUGUGGCCAAUUUGCCAACCAUAGGCUCGAAUGUAGUUACUCCACAUUAAUGUAUUGAAAUUCUCAAUUAUCUUUUUUUAAAUCUAUCAUUCUCAUGGCUUGACAA